UCUUCUGCAGCCUGGCCCGCACAUCCUGAGCCGAACAGGUCACCUGAGCGCCAAUGACGUCCAAUGGCAGACAGUGAAGCUGUUUCUGGCGGUAGCACAGCGCUUUGGCCUCCCACUCUUCCUCGUUGACACCGCGGCGCUCACGCUGCUUUCCCAGGAUGCAUUGCGGCAGCGCGACAGGCUGGUGCGUGAGCCACACUGCAGCUUCCUGUGCACCGGCCGACCAAUCACGUCCUUUGCUCUGCACGCCAACCUGUGGAAGUAUGACCCCGGCUUCCUAUUGGCUGCAGAACAAAAAGGCUUCGACCUGCUGGAGCUGCGAGGAGAGGACCCGCGAUUGGCCAGUUUGGACACCCUAUCAGGAGAGGCAAUCCCACUGCACUUCCUGUUCCGCCUCCACGGUUACAUUAUCCAGGUGGGUGUG